GGGGUCCUGAGUUCAAUUCCUAACAACCACAUGGUGGCUCCCAACCAUCUGUAAUGGGAUCUGAUGCCCUCUUCUGGAGUGUCUGAAGAGAGUAAUAGUGGAAUACGCAUAUGCAUAAACAGUGACCAGCACAGCAUCCUUAGGCAUGGCCUUCCGUUCUCCAUCCGCCUCUGUGUGCUAACUGCAUUCCACACCUUCAGAGUCUACCGGCUGGAUUGAAAGGAUACCGGACAUGGUGGCGCACGCCUUUACUCCCAGCACUUGGGAGGCAGAGGCUGUCAGAUCUCUGUGAGUUUGAGGCCAGCCUGGUCUACAAAGCCAGUUCCAGGACAGCCAGGGCUACACAGAGAAACCUUGACUCAAAAAACCAACCAACCGGGGCUGGUGAGAUGGCUCAGUGGGUAAGAGCACCCGACUGCUCUUCCGAAGGUCCAGAGUUCAAAUCCCAGCAACCACAUGGUGGCCCACAACCAUCUGUAAUAAGAUCUGACUCUCUCUUCUGGAAUGUCUGAAGACAGCUACAG
rnacentral:lncRNA from 1 species